ensembl:lncRNA
GUUGAACCUUCCCACCAAUAUUCUGUUCCAUGUUGUUGCUGUGCGACAGAUGGCAGCAGAGGGGCAGUCUGACAACAUGGUGUCUGACAUGGAAGUGCAUAUGAAGAAAAGGUUUUCUGCUUCAAGCCUUUAAAUGUCAUGAAGAAGCAGCAAGAUGGCAUCGCUGCCUCCAACAAGUCCUCCUCCCAAAUCCUCAGAGAGAUGAAAAAGUGCUGCCUGUUGCCCAGGAGCAGACAGAGCAAGGAGACUUUUCAUACUAAAAAUUGAUGCAAAACAGCGAGCCACAGUGUCACAAAACAGAUUUGACAGCUCAAGGUUUUAAUUACUGUUUACAGCUAGAGAGCGGACAAAGCAAGCUCCAGGCAAGUCCAGGAGUUGCUUGCAUUUUAUUCAUGCUAGAAAAGAACAGAUUCUCUCACAACCGUCCCACUCAGACUUCUUCAUUUUGCUUACCAUGUGCCCAUGAUCACCUGGCCAAAUUUGCAACAAGCAUACUUCUGAGCUUGAGGGAGAGAUGGAGUAUUCUGGAAAUGGCUGUGGUGCCAAUGCUUGCCAUUAACCUUUCAUCACCACCAUUCAUUUCUGCUGAAAUUUCCUCUAAGAUGUGCACAGUUGGCCUCAGCCAUCAGCUUCACCAAUGUCACCGCCGGCUCUGCUGAAUCCUGGACCAUUCUGAAGUAGAGUUUAGCGCUGACGUUUCCCUGGUUCAUGGCUAAGCAGCUCUGGUACUGUUCUGCUCCACUCCCAGCUGAAACACAAGCUGGUUUGGGAUCCUCACGCAAGGCUUGAAAUGUCAGACAGAACGUGCUCUUUGUGGGCACGUGUGGCUGCAGGUUUUACCACGGUUGUCUCUGGAUAUGAGCAAAGACAAG